rnacentral:rRNA from 1 species
CUGGCGGCGUGCCUAAUACAUGCAAGUCGAGCGAAUGGAUUGAGAGCUUGCUCUCAAGAAGUUAGCGGCGGACGGGUGAGUAACACGUGGGUAACCUGCCCAUAAGACUGGGAUAACUCCGGGAAACCGGGGACUAAUACCGGAUAAUAUUUUGAACUGCAUGGUUCGAAAUUGAAAGGCGGCUUCGGCUGUCACUUAUGGAUGGACCCGCGUCGCAUUAGCUAGUUGGUGAGGUAACGGCUCACCAAGGCAACGAUGCGUAGCCGACCUGAGAGGGUGAUCGGCCACACUGGGACUGAGACACGGCCCAGACUCCUACGGGAGGCAGCAGUAGGGAAUCUUCCGCAAUGGACGAAAGUCUGACGGAGCAACGCCGCGUGAGUGAUGAAGGCUUUCGGGUCGUAAAACUCUGUUGUUAGGGAAGAACAAGUGCUAGUUGAAUAAGCUGGCACCUUGACGGUACCUAACCAGAAAGCCACGGCUAACUAC